UUUCCGUAGGUGAACCUGCGGAAGGAUCAUUAAAAAUGAAGCCGGGAAACCGGUCCUUCUAACCCUUGAUUAUCUUAAUUUGUUGCUUUGGUGGGCCGCGCAAGCACCGGCUUCGGCUGGAUCGUGCCCGCCAGAGGACACAACUCUGUAUCAAAUGUCGUCUGAGUACUAUAAAAUAGUUAAAACUUUCAACGACGGAUCUCUUGGUUCUG
rnacentral:misc_RNA from 1 species